rnacentral:rRNA from 1 species
UCCAGACUCCUACGGGAGGCAGCAGUGGGGGAUAUUGCACAAUGGGGGAAACCCUGAUGCAGCGACGCCGCGUGAGUGAAGAAGUAAUUCGUUACGUAAAGCUCUAUCAGCAGGGAAGAAAAUGACGGUACCUGACUAAGAAGCCCCGGCUAACUACGUGCCAGCAGCCGCGGUAAUACGUAGGGGGCAAGCGUUAUCCGGAUUUACUGGGUGUAAAGGGAGCGUAGACGGCGGCGCAAGUCCGGAGUGAAAGCCCACGGCCCAACCGGGGGACUGCUCUGGAAACUGUGGGGCUUGAGUGCGGGAGGGGCAGGCGGAAUUCCUAGGGAAGCGGUGAAAUGCGUAGAUAUUAGGAGGAACACCGGCGGCGAAGGCGGC